CCUACGGGAGGCAGCAGUGGGGAAUAUUGCACAAUGGGGGGAAACCCUGAUGCAGCGACGCCGCGUGGAGGAAGAAGGUCUUCGGAUUGUAAACUCCUGUUGUUGAGAAAGAUAAUGACGGUACUCAACAAGGAAGUGACGGCUAACUACGUGC
rnacentral:rRNA from 1 species